CUCCCUCAGUCCUCAGCCACCACCACCACACCGAUCUAGGGUUUCCUGCUAGGGUUUUAGUCCUUCGUUUCCGGCGGCGGCGCAAGAUGGGUGAGAGAGUGAAGGGAACCGUGAAGUGGUUCAACGUCACCAAGGGGUUCGGCUUCAUCUCCCCGGAGGACGGCAGCGAGGACCUCUUCGUCCACCAGUCCGCCAUCAAGGCCGACGGCUACCGCAGCCUCAACGAGAACGACGUCGUCGAGUUCGAGGUCAUCACCGGCGACGACGGCCGCACCAAGGCCGCCGACGUCACCGCACCAGGAGGAGGUGCGCUCGCCGGCGGCUCCCGCCCUGGCGACGGCGGUGGUGACCGCGGGGGUCGCGGCGGGGGUGGCUACGGUGGAGGCGGCUACGGCGGCGGUGGCGGCGGCUACGGCGGCGGUGGCGGCGGCUAUGGCGGCGGUGGCGGCAGCUAUGGCGGCGGUGGCGGCUACGGAGGUGGUGGUGGCGGCGGCCGCUACGGCGGCGGCGGCGGCGGCGGCCGUGAGUGCUUGGCUACGGAGGUGGUGGCGGCCGUGGCGGUGGCGGCGGCGGUGGCGGCUGCUUCUCCUGCGGCGAGUCUGGCCACUUCUCGCGCGAGUGCCCCAACAAGACCAACUAGGCGGCGCUGCCCGUCAGAUCUGAGUGCCCCGUUCCCCUUCGCUCCUUUUCCUACCGCCUGACUCUGCAGCAAGUCAUACCUAUACCUAUCAGUAUUAGUAUAAGUCGCCGUAGUGUUCCCCGUGCUUCUCGUAGGAAGAAGAAUCGACGAUGCGAGCCUGGUUCGAGAAGUAUUGUUGGUGGCGUGUUUGUUCGUUCGAAGUUAUCUUGUUGUGUCGUCUGAUGGGGACAGACUGAUCUAUCUUUAUGUAUUGGAUGAAAUGGACUAAGUUAUGCAAGUCAAGUUAUGCUA